UACGGGGGGAGCAAACGUUGUUCGGAAUCACUGGGCGUAAAGGGCGCGUAGGCGGCCCCUUAAGCGUGUGGUGAAAGCGCGGGGCUCAACCCCGCGUCGGCCAUGCGGACUGGGAGACUAGAGUACCGGAGAGGAGGGUGGAAUUCCUGGUGUAGCGGUGAAAUGCGUAGAUAUCAGGAAGAACACCGGUGGCGAAGGCGGCCCUCUGGACGGAUACGUGACGCUGGAGACGCGAAAGCGUGGGGAGCAAACAGG
rnacentral:rRNA from 1 species